AGAACUCGAGUCUGACAACUUGAGGUUAUACUUGAUACUGGACUAGAAGAGGAGCACAUCUUUGCUUUUUUACAGCCAGGUUAUAGCUGGUGGCUUACAGCUUGGUUCGUGGAUAUUACUUUUUUGCAUGUGUUCCAUACUACAUUGGUGCUCAGGGAGGGAGCGGAGACGCAGAGAAACAGAUAGGCCGACAGAAAGACAGCUACGUACGCAGGAGACAGAGGCAGAAUGAAACCAUGGGAAGACAACCUGACGCCUUUCUUGAGACGCUCGGAGCGGAAGCUCUCGUAGUGAAGGUCCUGGGUCACCUCCUGAAGGUCCUGCAUGACUCACAUGAGCAUGGUGCGGAGCUUCAGGAAGUCGUUGUGCUCAGGGUUCUCCACCUCCACCACACCCCAGGGGUACAGGCGCCCUCGUACCUUCUUCCCUUUCGCCUCGAUCUGCUGGUUCGACCCCACCA